CGAGCGGACAGAUGGGAGCUUGCUCCCUGAUGUUAGCGGCGGACGGGUGAGUAACACGUGGGUAACCUGCCUGUAAGACUGGGAUAACUCCGGGAAACCGGGGCUAAUACCGGAUGGUUGUUUGAACCGCAUGGUUCAAACAUAAAAGGUGGCUUCGGCUACCACUUACAGAUGGACCCGCGGCGCAUUAGCUAGUUGGUGAGGUAACGGCUCACCAAGGCGACGAUGCGUAGCCGACCUGAGAGGGUGAUCGGCCACACUGGGACUGAGACACGGCCCAGACUCCUGGGAGGCAGCAGUAGGGAAUCUUCCGCAAUGGACGAAAGUCUGACGGAGCAACGCCGCGUGAGUGAUGAAGGUUUUCGGAUCGUAAAGCUCUGUUGUUAGGGAAGAACAAGUACCGUUCGAAUAGGGCGGUACCUUGACGGUACCUAACCAGAAAGCCACGGCUAACUACGUGCCAGCAGCCGCGGUAAUACGUAGGUGGCAAGCGUUGUCCGGAAUUAUUGGGCGUAAAGGGCUCGCAGGCGGUUUCUUAAGUCUGAUGAGAAAGCCCCCGGCUCAACCGGGGAGGGUCAUUGGAAACUGGGGAACUUGAGUGCAGAAGAGGAGAGUGGUAAUUCCACGUGUAGCGGUGAAAUGCGUAGAGAUGUGGAGGAACACCAGUGGCGAAGGCGACUCUCUGGUCUGUAACUGACGCUGAGGAGCGAAAGCGUGGGGAGCGAACAGGAUUAGAUACCCUGGUAGUCCACGCCGUAAACGAUGAGUGCUAAGUGUUAGGGGGUUUCCGCCCCUUAGUGCUGCAGCUAACGCAUUAAGCACUCCGCCUGGGGAGUACGGUCGCAAGACUGAAACUCAAAGGAAUUGACGGGGGCCCGCACAAGCGGUGGAGCAUGUGGUUUAAUUAGAAGCAACGCGAAGAACCUUACCAGGUCUUGACAUCCUCUGACAAUCCUAGAGAUAGGACGUCCCCCUUCGGGGGCAGAGUGACAGGUGGUGCAUGGUUGUCGUCAGCUCGUGUCGUGAGAUGUUGGGUUAAGUCCCGCAACGAGCGCAACCCUUGAUCUUAGUUGCCAGCAUUCAGUUGGGCACUCUAAGGUGACUGCCGGUGACAAACCGGAGGAAGGUGGGGAUGACGUCAAAUCAUCAUGCCCCUUAUGACCUGGGCUACACACGUGCUACAAUGGACAGAACAAAGGGCAGCGAAACCGCGAGGUUAAGCCAAUCCCACAAAUCUGUUCUCAGUUCGGAUCGCAGUCUGCAACUCGACUGCGUGAAGCUGGAAUCGCUAGUAAUCGCGGAUCAGCAUGCCGCGGUGAAUACGUUCCCGGGCCUUGUACACACCGCCCGUCACACCACGAGAGUUUGUAACACCCGAAGUCGGUGAGGUAACCUUUAGGAGCCAGCCGCCG
rnacentral:rRNA from 1 species